GACGAACGCUGGCGGCGUGCUUAACACAUGCAAGUCGAACGGAAAGGCCCUGCUUUUGUGGGGUGCUCGAGUGGCGAACGGGUGAGUAACACGUGUGUAUCCUGCCCUUGACUUUGGGAUAACUUCAGGAAACUGGGGCUAAUACCGGAUAUGAGCUCCUGCUGCUUGGUGGGGGUUGGAACGUUUCGUCGGUUGGGGAUGGACUCGCGGCUUAUCAGCUUGUUGGUGGGGUAGUGGCUUACCAAGGCUUUGACGGGUAGCCGGCCUGAGAGGGUGACCGGCCACAUUGGGACUGAGAUACGGCCCAGAAUACUACGGGAGGAAGCAGUGGGGAAUAUGGCACAAUGGGCGGAAGCCUGAUGCAGAAACGCGGCGUGCGGGAUGACGGCCUUCGGGUUGUAAACCGAUGUCGCCUGAGACGAAGCGUGAGUGACGGUAAUGGGUAAAGAAGCACCGGCUAACUACGUG
rnacentral:rRNA from 1 species